GAUGAACGCUGGCGGCGUGCAUAACACAUUCAAGUCGAACGGUGAGGAGGACUUCGGUCCUCUGAUCAGUGGCGGACGGGUGAGUAACGCGUGAGCAACCUGCCCUAUAUUGCGGGAUAACAACCGGAAACAGUUGCUAAUACCGCAUGACGUAUUCGGAUCGCAUGUUCUGAAUACCAAAGAAUUUUGAUAUAGGAUGGGCUCGCGUCCGAUUAGGCAGUUAGUGGGGUAAUGGCCCACCAAACCGACGAUCGGUAGCCGAACUGAGAGGUUGAACGGCCACAUUGGAACUGAGAUACGGUCCAGACUCCUACGGGAGGCAGCAGUGGGGAAUAUUGGGCAAUGGGCGAAAGCCUGACCCAGCGACGCCGCGUGAGGGAAGAAGGUCUUCGGAUUGUAAACCUCUUUCAGCAGGGAAGAAGCAAGUGACGGUACCUGCAGAAGAAGCCACGGCUAACUACGUG
rnacentral:rRNA from 1 species